AGAAGGUGAACGUGUUGGAGCACCUGUCCCAGCUGGCCGUCAACACCACUAAUGUAUCCUUAUCUGUGGGGACCCAGAAUUGUCUGACUCUUCACAUUGGCCUGUACGCCACACUGGCAAUGCCCACACACCAGGCAUUUGGACCAAGGUUUGUAGAUGAGUUCAGUGUGCUGAUGGAGCUGCGUAGUGUUCAGCAGGAGGAGAGUAGCCUGGUCACCGUGCUCAGUUCCUACAGCCACAUCCAGCUGCAGCUCCGUCUCAGCCCACACACGGUCACCUUCGUCUCCACUCACCACAGACAUUACGAGUACGUUGUUAGUUUCACCUCCUAGUUUAGAUGAAUUCUGUCUUUCUGACUUUUUGUACAGUAUAGUAAAUGAAGCUGAGGUGCUUUGCUCCACUUGCAGCUAAAAACAAUAAGUCAAGCAAUACAAGUGAAGUAAAUUUACCUCCCAUUCCGUCCUGUCCCUCUAGGUUCCCAGUAGAUAUGCUGCCUGACGGCCAGUGGCACCAGGUCUCUGUAGGUGUGUCCUCCAGCUGGCUGGCCCUCUAUGUGGACUGUGAGCUGGUGGAGAGGGUGAACUGGACCUACCCUGGACAGGACAUUACCACUGAUGGUCUGCUGAUGCUGGGGGGCAUCAUAGAGGGCUUUGAGACUCCAUUUGAGGGUGCUCUGAGACAGAUGACCUUUGUGAUGGGUGACCCCGACGCAGCCAGACACCAAUGUAACCUCCACCUCCCUAUGUGUGAUGGAAUAGCCCCCAAAGCUCCACGCUCCCCAAGAACACCCCACACACACCAGGAUGCCGAGUUGUCCUCUGGUGACCUGCUAGAUGACUUGACAUACAGUACAGGGAGUUCCAGAGAGAGUUCCACAGAUAAAGGGGAUGCUGUCAUGGUGAGUACCUUUGAUAGGGAGAUAAUUCCAUUGUCAUGUACAGUAGUUGAUGUAAAGCCAUGUGAGUCAGCCCAAUUUAGACAAAAGCCACGGAUUUGCCUGGUUUUAAAGUCUUUAAUCUCUUUUGAAUUAUAGUGCAUUAGGGGAUAAUGGGUCCCUUACAUGUGCUUUGUACAGUGUUCCAGUAGUAACAGUUGUAGUAAUCUAUGCUUACGACACUAUUAAAGGCAAAUAAGUGACAGAUGUAGUGGUUGGUUAGAGAUAUUGCCUGAACAAUCUGGGAAGUGUAUCAUUGAUGGAGGUGAGGUGAGGAAAUU
rnacentral:lncRNA from 13 species